rfam:Operophtera brumata OBRT01_Sc01380, whole genome shotgun sequence.
UUAAAGGCUCUUUUUAGAGCCUCACAGAUCUAUUAACUUUAUA